rnacentral:lncRNA from 1 species
UUUUUCUUUCUCCUUUUCUAAAUUUUAAGGCUCUAAAUCAAAGUAGGAAUUUUCUUUUUGUCUUAGGAUAUCUUAGCAGAUCUUGCAAAUUAUAUAUAGUUGUUUGUAUAAGUGGCCACUACACAUACAAUUUAGAAUAUUAUCUCAGGACUUUUUUUAGUAUGUCACCAUAAUUAAUCAAUCAACCAAUUUUAAAACAAAAGACAAAAAAUGA